GUUUCCUGUGAAUUUCAUCCUGUUCGGGCAUUGUUUACCAUCUUUUGGGUCGCAAAGCGUACGGUCGGACUCCACAACAGAACAUGUCCUAGUUAUGCGUCGAUGUUGCGCUGAGUCCGUUGAUACGAACACAGCUCACACCACAGACACCAAGUGUCCCACUUUCAUUACGCCUCUGACUUUCAACAGCCAAUGACUUGCGUACACCUUAAACUCCUUGGUCCGUGUUUCAAGACGGGUCAAAUAGGUGAUCGACUAAACACCGAAUGUGAAGUAGAGUAAGAGCGGCGAUCGACUAAAAACAUAAAUGCAAAACGCAUGCAUCGUACAAACAUCUCCUCAAUCGACCAACACCCUCACGAAAAACCAACUUCAUUUUACGAUCAAAUUCAUCCACCAUCCGAGAAAAGUAGGAUUCAAAAAUUAGAAAUUUCCAUUAUCCGAAAUCUCAGAUGUCGAAAGCAGCAAUUUCCAAUUGCAAUUAUCGGAAACGAGGGAUGUCGGAAUUAGAAAUUGCCAUCAGCCGGCACCGGAAACGUCGGUUUCCCCUCAUACGCUUUCCGCCCGGUCCCCCCUCGUCCGCCCUCCACCCUCG
rnacentral:rRNA from 1 species